GAUAGGGAAAACACAACAAGAGGAAAAAGGGGGAAAUAUUCCUUUUAUGGGGCAAUAAAUAUUAGACACAUACGCACAUACGGGUCCAGACAAAUAGUUUUCCGAUUGGUGAAAAGUGCAUAAAAAUUUUCGCUCCGCUAUUGAUUAGCGAAAAAUUCUAAUUAUUCGACGAACAACGAAGCGACAAAGAAGAUGUCGGGAACAAUUUUGGAGAAUUUGAGCACAAAAAAGCUCUCAAUUCUUGUGGGUUUGCUGCUCGUUUGUCAAGUUGUUUGUUUCCUCAUUGGCGGAUUGAUUGCUCCAAUACCGGCCAGCGUUCAGACAAUUUUGGGAACAAUUUGCAAGGAUGUGCCGCGAGCCUACAACGACACGAGCGUUUGGCUUUAUCCGAGGGGCGAAAAACGAUGUCACACACUUUCUCACGACGAAAUAGAAAAUCACGACGUGAAGAUGGCGAACAAUUUGGUAUUUGCUUUUCAGAUGCCUCUGCCGAGAGAAGGUAGAGUUUUGGAUUACUCACGAUGGCAGCAAAAUUUAAUUGGGGUGUUGCAAACGGAUAUUGGAUAUAGUGCGGAAUUGACUAUCAAUCCCAAAACCGACGUCACCAUCGACGCUCGCUUGGCAUACCGCAACAAGGAGGACAAAGACGACGAAUGGAAAUAUCUCGCAUCUUCACUCGAAACCCGUUCUCUCGAAUGCACCAUGGAUGAAAUUUCAGGCACUUCAUUUUACGAUUGCGGCACCAUCCCGUUGUUCGAAUUGGGUUCCUUGCAUCACGAUUACUAUUUGCUGAAUGUGCGAUUGCCUCGUGACACGGAUUCGAAGAUGAAUUACGAUUUGGGUUACGUGCGCGACUUGCAUUUGUCGGUAAUUCAUCAAAAUGGGGGAUUCACGAAGGUUUGGGUGUCGCUGAAGACGGUUUUCUUCCCGUUCAUUGUCGCUAUCAUGGUUUGGUUUUGGCAUCGCGUGCAUUUGUUGAGUCGAUCGCCGGCGUUGUUGGAGUACAUGUUGCUGUAUCUCGGCGGAGCAUUGACACUUUUGAAUUUGCCGCUUGAAUGGUUGACAUUGGUGUUCGAUAUGCCCUUCAUGUUGCUCUUGGGAGAUAUUAAGCAGGGGAUUUUUUAUGCUACGUUGCUGUCAUUUUGGCUUGUUUUCGCUGGAGAGCAUAUGUUGAUCCAAGAAACCGGCGAGAAGAAAACCCUCAAAUCGUAUUGGCGUCACUUAAUCGCCGUCAUCGUGGGAUGCAUUUCUCUCUUCAUGUUCGACAUGUGUGAACGCGGCACAAAAUUACGAAAUCCCUUUUACUCCAUUUGGGGCACAAACAUCGGAGCAAAUCUCGCAAUGACUUUUAUCGUGCUCGCCGGCAUGUCAGCUGUCUGCUAUUUCCUCUUCCUCUGCUACAUGGUAUGGAAAGUUUUUUCGAACAUCAGCAUUAAGCGAUCCUCGUUGCCCGCCAUGUCAAGUGCGCGUCGUUUGCACUACGAAGGCAUCAUCUAUCGCUUCAAAUUUUUGAUGUUGGCAACUUUGGUGUGCGCCGCUCUCACGAUAAUCGGCUUCAUUUUGGGCCAAGUUGCCGAAGGACAAUGGAAAUGGGACGACAAUCUGUAUCUGGAGUUUACGUCGGCUUUCUUUACGGGCGUUUAUGGCAUGUGGAACAUUUACAUCUUUGCGCUGAUUGUCUUGUAUGCGCCGAGUCACAAGCAAUGGCCGCAACAGCAACCCAACCAGGAGAGCAUUUUGAGCGAGGAAAUUGAAUUUACGAGUCUUCCGUCGCUCAGUCAGCCAACGGAAGUGAGUUCGCUCACGCAAUUCGUUAGCAAGGCAGCGAUGGAUUAAACGAAGAAGCGUUUUUGAGACGCGCAACUGAAAGCAAUCAAUUACAUUUAGACUUUUAAGGAAUGACGACAAUGAGUAGAGAGUGGAUAAAUUUUAGAUGUAACAUGACAGUAUUAACGAAAAGUUCAGAAAAUUAUUUUGACUAUCAUAACCUCACUUUUUUUUUAUCGAAUCGAUCUAAAAUCUGAAUGUUGGAAGAAACAAAUAAUGGUUAAAAUAUUUAUUACUAAAUGUCUUGUGAAUGUACUUAAUGUGUUUUUAAGUUAAAAUCGGUUGCUUCCGAUAUUUUUAUGACUUAUUUUAUUCAAAUAUGUGCCAAAAUAUUUGCAUUUAUUGACAAAAGUUCACAUUUCACGUAGAAUU